UACGGAGGGUGCGAGCGUUGUCCGGAAUCACUGGGCGUAAAGGGCGCGUAGGUGGCUCGUGAAGCGUGCGGUGAAAGUCCGAGGCUCAACCUCGGAUCGGCCGUGCGGACUCGCGGGCUCGAGCGUUGUAGAGGCGGGUGGAAUUCCGGGUGUAGCGGUGGAAUGCGUAGAGAUCCGGAAGAACACCGGUGGCGAAGGCGGCCUGCUGGGCUAUGGCUGACACUGAGACACGAAAGCGUGGGUAGCAAACAGG
rnacentral:rRNA from 1 species